rnacentral:lncRNA from 1 species
UAUCUCUCUAGCCCACCAGUUAUUACAUUCUUUUAAUCUUUUGCUUAGCAGAUAAACCCACACACUGAGUUUGUCUGUCCUUCGAUAUUGCCUUAUUAGAGAAUUGAAUAUUAUUAUUAUUAUUAUUAUUAUUAUUAUUAUUAUUAUUAUUAUUAGUUUUGUUUUGUUUUUCGAGACAAGGUUUCUCUGUAUUGAUUUAAGGCUGUCCUGGAACUCACUCUAUAGACCAGGCUGGCCUCGAACUCAGCAAAGAUCUGCCUGCCUCUGCCUCCUGAGUGCUGGGAUUAAAGGCAUACGCCACCAGUGCCCAGCAAGAAUUGAACAUUAUUUUGCGUGUUCUUGGAUAUGAGUAAUCUUAUGGCUUCUCUGUUCAGGACCUUUGCUUGCUAUUUUAACCCAGGCGUCAUUGAUAAUAUUGGUCCUUUGAUGUUUGAGAUAAAGCACCAGAACAAACAGUAAGGUUGGCAACACUUGGUAUUUGCUGAGUAGUUCAUGGGUGGGUCUAAGUAUCUGUGGCCUGGCCACUGGAGCAUGUCACAGACCUGUGCCGAAUGUCACAUUGGGUUCACUUAAUUUUUAUGCUUCUUUGCUUCUCUUCCUGUUCAGGCUACGAUGCCAAGUACAAAGAGAGGCUUCGUGUGGCCCAGCUCUACAGACAAUACUGUCGGGACAGCCCAUCAAUCAAGAUCGCCAUCUCCUCCCAGUGAGGACGAAAACACCAACAGCUACUUUGGGAUGACUUCCAGCGAGCAGAGACCUUGCUUGGCUCCUAGUCCUGCAGAGGAACUUCUGAGUUGUUGUGCAGCCAUAUCCUCCUAAUGGAAACAUUCCUUCUUAGAGGGAUGUCCUUUAAGACUCUGGAAGUAAAUGAUAUCCAUAAGCCCAGGGAGCUCUGAAAACAUGCAAGACCAUAAGGUGUCUGCUAAGGUUAUACUCACAGUAACAACUGACCCAGCUCAGUCAAGCAAGCUAUUCGGGGAGUUCUGGGAAUGCAGCUCUCCCAGGGUGUCUACCCAUCCUGGUGUGGGCUUCUCAAUGAUGCAGCUGCCAUUAGUCACCCACAUUCUGUAGCUAAUUCCUCAUCCAGAGUCCUGCUAACUCACUAGUUCAGUAAGUUAGAUCUCUCUGGAAUUGUUUCUUUGGUCGGUUGUUAGGGCUUUAUCUGGGCUGAAUAGAUGUUUGUCCACAUCACCCCAGGGAAAGUCACACAACAUAAGUGCAAGCUCAAAUACAAAUGUUAUCUAUAAUCCAGCCCACUAGUUAAAGCUACCUUCAAAUUUACACAACCCAAAAGUCAGUUUUUACUUAUCUUCAUGGCAUUUAGGAGAAGAGAGCCACACAUGAAUACACAGCAGCCGUUUAAGAAAUAGGAACUGAGGCCAGGCGUUGGUGGCACACACCUUUAAUCCCAGCACUUGGGAGGCAGAGGCAGUCGGAUCUCUAUGAGUUUGAGGCCAGCCUGGUCUACAGAGCGAGUGCCAGGAUAGGCUCCAAAACAAUACAGAGAAAUCCUGUCUCAAAAAACCAAACCAAAACAAAACAAACAACAACAAAAAACAAACAAGAAAGAAAGAGCGAGAGAGAGAGAGAGAGGAAGGAAGGAAGGAAGGAAGGAAGAAAAGAAGUAGGAACUGAACCUAAUCAUUCAACACCUAACAGCUUGUGGCCAUCUCAGCCUUUGUGUGUAUAGUAAACUGCUCUCAGUGGAGCAUAACAUAACAACAGUGAAAGCAAAAGGUGAUUCUUCUAGUUGCCUGACUAAACAGCUCUGGGGGCAGAAGGCAACUUUGAUCCAGUCAGAAUCAAAUAUAAGUCAGAAAAUACUAGAAAAAAAGUUCAUUAUGUUGGCAGCAAGCAUAGUCCCCUCAAUUGGUCAGGCUUUUUCCUCCCUAGCACGGGAUUUCCUGAAAUAUUAGCCGUCUAUCAACUCAUGCAAAGAAGUGGACUGUAGGACAGAUAGGACAGUUGAAGGACACAAUCCAAGUGCCCAGGGACCCUGUCAGAUCCCUUAGCCUGCAUCAGUCUCAUCCAAGGAGCUUUAGCAACACCUAUUCUGCAUGCCUGGCACUGUAAACCUGACCAAAACCCCAUGGUAAGGCCAGAGGCCCCAGGGAGAGCUAUUGCUGCUGUUUUGCUAAAUGGACUUGUUAGAAACUGCCUUCUAAAUAUUUAUAGUUAUGCUCAUAGAUUAGUACUGUCCUCAACCUUGGCCAGAGAAAUCUCUUUCUGCAGUGGACAACAAUACAGAGUAACAAAGAUCUGAGAGUAAGUGAAUGUUGAGUGCAUAGCCAUAACUAGGACGUCUAUACCUCAUCCCCCAAAGGCUAACAGAAUGUUGCCAAAAAGGAGGAGGAAGUAAUAAGAGUAUGGGAAAGUGUGCUGUGAAUGCUAAGCUGUAGACGCAGUGUGUCUGUUGUACUGCUGAGUGCACCAUAGCUAUGGGUAUCGGCAUAAGACCUGCACAAGAUCAAACCAACAAGUUCAGCCAACACUCCAGAUGGCAGCACUAAUUAGACUCAGUAGGUUUCGGGGGGAGCAUGAGGGAUGAGGCUGUGUUGGUAUGUGUCCAGGAGAAGGUGGUGCAGGACUGGACAGGAUCAAGAUAUAUUAUUUACAUGGAUGAAAUUGUCAAAGAAUAAAUGAUGUUGUCAAUAGCCUUACAUUCUGCACAUAGGGACAUCCUGAGCCUUGUCACGGUAAGGAGAGAAGGAAAUGAUGUGUUACAGGCUUUCCAGCCCAGGAGCUGGUAUGCACUUUUCUUGAAAUAUAUGGGAUUCUUAUAUUUCCGUAUUUUUCUAUUCACACUCCUUUGUCUUUGUCCUCUCUGGUGAUCUACUAAGCAAAACCUCCUAUUCCUUAUAAACAUGGUUUGAUGAUUGUAUAGUAUCUUUGCAUGUAGUUGCUCCUAAAAAAAGGCUAGCAAAUGAAGCAUGCUGAGUCCUUGAAGCUUCCAGUAGCCUCCUUGAACCCCCAGCCCCUCUUAUAAGGAUUUGUAUACCAAGACUCUGUGGUUUCUUCAUGAACUGAGCUUCACAUCCAUGGCAAGUGGAACCCUAGAACCUCAGAUAUUAAAAAAAAAGAGGAAAGGAAGAAGAAAAGAAAAAGAAGGAAGGAAGGAAAGAAAGAAGGAGGGAAAGAAGGAGGUUAAUAUUGUGAUGGGGCCUGGCAUUGGUAUUUUUGAGAGUUUUUAAAAUCAUCAUAGUUCCAGCCACAGCUAAGAAUCACCAUAGCCUAAGACAUAUCGUUAUAGAUGCCAAACAUACCCAGCAGAUGUGUCACUGCCUUGGUAUGCAGGUAGACACACAGAGCUGAGUGACCAAGGAGAAGUCAGGUCCCAUUAGACAGGCAAAUCUGUGUCCACCACAACAGCAUUGUGUCACUUCAGCUGACCCUGAUGAUUCACAAUCUGUGCUUAGACACUAAGCACCAAGCUGCAGCUAGGAGGGACUUCAGAAUGAGUGUUUGGCCUCACUCAGAGCAGCUGAUCAGGGAUGUAAGUGACUGGAAUGACAGCUAUGACCUUCACCCAUAAUCUGAACCAAGGCAAACCAGCCAUUUGGAGGAUACAGAGUCAAAGCCAUCCUGGGAGGAGGGGGUUUGUGAGCAGCUUGUUCCUGGAGGUUUUCCAAUUUCAAGUCCUUCAAUUUUCAGUUUCAAAUCCAGAGCCUCCAGUACCUAAGGUGCUCUGAG